UACGAAGGGGGCUAGCGUUGCUCGGAAUCACUGGGCGUAAAGGGCGCGUAGGCGGCCGAUUAAGUCGGGGGUGAAAGCCUGUGGCUCAACCACAGAAUUGCCUUCGAUACUGGUUGGCUUGAGACCGGAAGAGGACAGCGGAACUGCGAGUGUAGAGGUGAAAUUCGUAGAUAUUCGCAAGAACACCAGUGGCGAAGGCGGCUGUCUGGUCCGGGUUCUGACGCUGAGGCGCGAAAGCGUGGGGAGCAAACAGG
rnacentral:rRNA from 1 species